rnacentral:rRNA from 1 species
AGCGAACGCUGGCGGCAGGCCUAACACAUGCAAGUCAAACGAACUCUUCGGAGUUAGUGGCGGACGGGUGAGUAACACGUGGGAACGUGCCAUUAGGUUCGGAAUAACUCAGGGAAACUUGUGCUAAUACCGAAUGUGCCCUUCGGGGGAAAGAUUUAUCGCCUUUAGAGCGGCCCGCGUCUGAUUAGCUAGUUGGUGAGGUAAAGGCUCACCAAGGCUACGAUCAGUAGCUGGUCUGAGAGGAUGACCAGCCACAUUGGGACUGAGACACGGCCCAAACUCCUACGGGAGGCAGCAGUGGGGAAUCUUGCGCAAUGGGCGAAAGCCUGACGCAGCCAUGCCGCGUGGAUGAUGAAGGUCUUAGGAUUGUAAAAUCCUUUCACCGGUGAAGAUAAUGACUGUAGCCGGAGAAGAAGCCCCGGCUAACUUCGUG